rnacentral:rRNA from 1 species
CGCCCCGCAAGGGGAGUGGCAGACGGGUGAGUAACGCGUGGGAACGUGCCCUAAGGUACGGAACAACUCCGGGAAACUGGAGCUAAUACCGUAUGUGCCCGAGAGGGGAAAGAUUUAUCGCCUUGGGAUCGGCCCGCGUCUGAUUAGCUAGUUGGUAGGGUAACGGCCUACCAAGGCUACGAUCAGUAGCUGGUCUGAGAGGAUGACCAGCCACACUGGGACUGAGACACGGCCCAG